rnacentral:rRNA from 1 species
AUACGGAGGAUCCAAGCGUUAUCCGGAUUUAUUGGGUUUAAAGGGUGCGUAGGUGGCUUUUUAAGUCAGGGGUGAAAUACGGCAGCUCAACUGUCGCAGUGCCUUUGAUACUGAAGAGCUUGAAUUAUGUUGAAGAUGGCGGAAUGAGACAAGUAGCGGUGAAAUGCAUAGAUAUGUCUCAGAACACCGAUUGCGAAGGCAGCUGUCUAAGCAUUGAUUGACACUGAUGCACGAAAGCGUGGGGAUCAAACAGGAUUAGAUACCCUGGUAGUCCACGCCCUAAACGAUGAUAACUCGAUGUUUGCGAUAUACAGUAAGCGUCUUAGCGAAAGCGUUAAGUUAUCCACCUGGGGAGUACGCUCGCAAGAGUGAA